rnacentral:rRNA from 1 species
CUAGCAGUAUCAGAGUUUGAUCCUGGCUCAGAUUGAACGCUGGCGGCAUGCCUUACACAUGCAAGUCGAACGGUAACAGGUCUUCGGACGCUGACGAGUGGCGAACGGGUGAGUAAUACAUCGGAACGUGCCCAGUCGUGGGGGAUAACUACUCGAAAGAGUAGCUAAUACCGCAUACGAUCUGAGGAUGGAAAGCGGGGGACCUUCGGGUCUCGCGCGAUUGGAGCGGCCGAUGGCAGAUUAGGUAGUUGGUGGGAUAAAAGCUUACCAAGCCGACGAUCUGUAGCUGGUCCGAGAGGACGACCAGCCACACUGGGACUGAGACACGGCCCAG